CAGCUAGUUGGUAAGGUAAUGGCUUACCAAGGCUACGAUGUUUAGGGGAUCUGAGAGGAUGACCCCCCACACUGGUACUGAGACACGGACCAGACUCCUACGGGAGGCAGCAGUAAGGAAUAUUGGUCAAUGGGCGGAAGCCUGAACCAGCCAUGCCGCGUGCAGGAAGACGGCCCUACGGGUUGUAAACUGCUUUUGCAGGGGAAUAAACCUCAUUACGUGUAAUGAGUUGAAUGUACUCUGAGAAUAAGGAUCGGCUAACUCCGUGCCAGCAGCCGCGGUAAUACGGAGGAUCCGAGCGUUAUCCGGAUUUAUUGGGUUUAAAGGGUGCGUAGGCGGCUUAUUAAGUCAGGGGUGAAAGACGGUAGCUUAACUAUCGCAGUGCCUUUGAUACUGAUGAGCUUGAAUGUACUUGAGGUAGGCGGAAUGUGACAAGUAGCGGUGAAAUGCAUAGAUAUGUCACAGAACACCAAUUGCGAAGGCAGCUUACUAAAGUAUGAUUGACGCUGAGGCACGAAAGCGUGGGGAUCAAACAGGAUUAAAUACCCUGGUAGUCCACGCCCUAAACG
rnacentral:rRNA from 1 species